GAUGAACGCUGGCGGCGUGCCUAAUACAUGCAAGUCGAGCGAACAGACGAGGAGCUUGCUCCUUUGACGUUAGCGGCGGACGGGUGAGUAACACGUAGGUAACCUACCUAUAAUACUGGGAUAACUUCGGGAAACCGGAUCUAAUACCGGAUAAUAUUUCGAACCGCAUGGUUCAAUAGUGAAAGAUGGCUUUGCUGUCCCUUAUAGAUGGACCCGCGCCGUAUUAGCUAGUUGGUAAGGUAACGGCUUACCAAGGCAACGAUACGUAGCCGACCUGAGAGGGUGAUCGGCCACACUGGAACUGAGACACGGUCCAGACUCCUACGGGAGGCAGCAGUAGGGAAUCUUCCGCAAUGGGCGAAAGCCUGACGGAGCAACGCCGCGUGAGUGAUGAAGGUCUUCGGAUCGUAAAACUCUGUUAUUAGGGAAGAACAAACGUGUAAGUAACUGUGCACGUCUUGACGGUACCUAAUCAGAAAGCCACGGCUAACUACGUG
rnacentral:rRNA from 1 species